AAGAAAAGAUGACUUCUUACCAAAAGAAGAAGUGGGGUUCUGGUUGUCCCGCCCCUCCCCUUGGCUAUGAGCAGAGACAUUUUUUGUUAACCAAAAAGUGCAGCCUUGCAAAUAGCUCCCAGCCCACUGACUCGGGUUUCUGGAUCAGGAGACAAACAGAGAAGGCAGCUUAAAGUACUUCUUUCCUCACUGCAGCUCAGGAAGGAGAGGUUCUGCACCCAGCACAAGAGCACAUCCUGGCACUUGAACUCAUGAUUCUGAGAUCAAGACCUGAGCCGAGAUCAAGAGUCAAUCGCUGAUGGAGCCACCCAGACGCCCCCAGUUCAUUCCCUUUUGAUGGCCGAAUAAUAUUCCAGUGUACGGAUAGACUACAUUUUGUUAUCCCUUCAUCAAUUGAUGGAAUUUAGGUUGUCGUCCCCUUUUGGCCAUUGUGAAUAAUGCUGGAUAAUAUUGUACAAGUAUUUGUUUUCAAUUACUUGGGGUAUAUACCUAAGAAUGAGAA